GCCGUGAUCGUAUAGUGGUUAGUACCUUGCGUUGUGGCCGCAAUAACCCAGGCUCGAAUCCUGGUCACGGCA
rnacentral:tRNA from 2 species